AAAUUAAUUUAGGGGCUUUAGCCCAUUCCUUAGUUUUGUCCGUUUUUAACCGGUAACAUUGGCAGAAGGAAAUAAAUCUUACUUCUACCUCGAUAUUCGUACCAAGUUGAACUCUUGUAGGAAACUUUUUUACCUAAGAAUUUGGGAGCAAUAAUUUAAAUAUUUACUCAUAUAACUAACCGAUUGAUAACUUGUUUACCGCCAGACAUUUACCUUAUUCUAUAAACACUUUCAUCAUCAUCAACCUUGAUAAAUAUGGAGUCUGCCAUGUCCAAUGCAAUUAUCUUGGCUAAAAUUCUGGAAUUCAUUCCUCCCAAGGUUGCCCGAUCCGUGUCGAACUUUUGGAAUGAAAUUAUCAUUUCUCAGGGUAGGCUGGGGAUAGCAUUAUAUGACUUUUCAAAUGAACGAGAGUUCAGGUCAUUUUUGGGACAAGUGAACCCCAAAUUAACAAAAAGGGUGGAGUUCUUUGACCACAAUUUUAAUAUCUCGUACCACAUCAUGGACAAAUUUUAUUCAACUAUAAACCGCAUGAAAAUCGGUUGUGAUGAGACAGAUAUAUUCUUGGAUUUACACGGAGUGCUCCAGAACCCGAAUAAUUUACCAAAUUUGAAAACCUUAUUUAUGAACAUUUGUUUCUCUAAUUUUUCCCCCGCUGAUGACGAGAAGGUUCCGAUAAUCGCAACCUCACGGCGGAACUUGACCUGGCUACGUUUGAACUUUCUAACCGACGACGAAUAUUAUCUGGCCUGCUUUCAAAAUCUGGUUAGUAGUGCAGGAAGAUUGGAAAAAACUGGAAAUCCACACUGACUGGGCGCCCGAUUUGGGAAAGAAUAGCAAUCUGAAAUUUUUCAAAUUUCGCGGGAUCGACAAUUGGGAUAAUGCCAAAUUAUCCCAAAGUUUGACACAAGUUUCAAAAUCUUUACGGCAUUUAGUUCUCAGAGGCUACACGAGCCGAAGCCAAAGUCAAUUAUACCUUCCCGCCCUGCCAAAUCUGUCUAAGAUAGUAGUCAGGAGUGAAGGCUCAUUCCACUUCCAGUUUUCCGACCUCUCUGGCCAGGCGAUGAAGAAGCUUAAGACGGUCACGUUUUUGGUAUAUGAAGAGUAUGGAUUUCAAAAUUCGCGUGACAACUGGAGUAACCCUACCGUGACUAGACUCAGACUAACCGGACUACCGGCCCCCGAUGAGACGGAGCGUUACAAAAACUUUUUCCCAAACCUUGAAGACUUCGAGAUUGUGGCAAUUUCAGGCUUGUCUGCUUGCGAUCCCAUACAGUCUGCGAAAAUCUUCUUCGACAGGGUUGUACUCCUAAUUUCUAUUUUGAACUUAAAACGGAUUUCCAUCAAGUUUUUCUACAGUAUUGGAUGUAAGGACUUCUUCAAAACUUUAGAUGAUAAUAAAGCCUCAUUAUUUGGAAAAGAUGGCUUUUAGUAUUUCAAAUUUGAACUGUGGGAUUUUUCUAUAAAAAAUUUAACCGAUGGAGUUUCCGAUGGUGAGGACGCCCAGUUUAAUGACACGUUUUUCCGCGUUCUCUCCGCCACGAAGGGACUCAAGAAUGUCAUACUCAGCAUGAAGGCGUACCAUUUUUCGCCUGGAUUCAUUAAGAAGAUGGACUCCUUCAUUGCGGAGAAAGGGCUUCCCGCAGAACUGUUUGUUUCCACCGAAUGUGACUAAGAUGAUCAUAGCAUGAUCUAAUAUAUCAUGGGAAGAAUCUACAUAGUUGACAAGAUGUUGUAGCGGUGUACGAAUUUUAUAAAUUGCUGGGAAUGUUACGAAUAGGUAUGAAGUUUCUUGAGUGUUUGGGUUGAAAUUACAAAUCAUGUGCAGAUUUCUUAAGGUAUGAUUAUCAUAAGGUCUUAAGUUAAUCAAUUGUAUCAAACGUAAAAAUUAAUUGUAAAAUUUUCCCGCAUUGCUUUCACCUUGAUUGUGACAACCACUAAUUCGGCUUUGAUUAAAAUAAACCAG